GAUCUGUCCGGGCUCGUGCUGAUACCGAUGUCGUAUUAGGUUUUACCAACUUCGGCGAGAGUGUUAUUGGUGUGUGGUCAUUAAGCUUCGGGAAGUGGCGUAGUCUGGCGAACAGUACUCUUUAAGUUUGACCUCAAAUCAGGUAGGAAUACCCGCUGAACUUAAGCAUAUCAAUAAGCGGAGGAAAAGAAACCAACCGGGAUUGCUUUAGUAACGGCGAGUGAAGCGGCAAAAGCUCAAAUUUGAAAUCUGGUACCUUCGGUGCCCGAGUUGUAAUUUGUAGAGGGAUACUUUGGGGCUGGUCCUUGUCUAUGUUCCUUGGAACAGGACGUCAUAGAGGGUGAGAAUCCCGUGUGGCGAGGAACCCAGUUCUUUGUAAAGUGCCUUCGAAGAGUCGAGUUGUUUGGGAAUGCAGCUCUAAGUGGGUGGUAAAUUCCAUCUAAAGCUAAAUAUUGGCGAGAGACCGAUAGCGAACAAGUACAGUGAUGGAAAGAUGAAAAGAACUUUGAAAAGAGAGUGAAAAAGUACGUGAAAUUGUUGAAAGGGAAGGGCAUUUGAUCAGACAUGGUGUUUUGCGCCCUCUGCUCCUUGUGGGUGGGGGACUCUCGCAGUUCACUGGGCCAGCAUCAGUUUUGGCGGUAGGAUAAAUCCUGAGGAACGUGGCUUGCUUCGGCGAGUGUUAUAGCCUCUGGGAAUACUGCCAGCCGGGACUGAGGACUGCGACAUUCGUCAAGGAUGCUGGCAUAAUGGUUAUAUGCCGCCCGUCUUGAAACACGGACCAAGGAGUCUAACGUCUAUGCGAGUGUUUGGGUGUAAAACCCGUACGCGUAAUGAAAGUGAACGUAGGUUGGGGCCUCGCAAGAGGUGCACAAUCGACCGAUCCUGAUGUUUUCGGAUGGAUUUGAGUAAGAGCAUAGCUGUUGGGACCCGAAAGAUGGUGAACUAUGCCUGAAUAGGGUGAAGCCAGAGGAAACUCUGGUGGAGGCUCGUAGCGGUUCUGACGUGCAAAUCGAUCGUCGAAUUUGGGUAUAGGGCGAAAGACUAAUCGA
rnacentral:rRNA from 1 species